AUUGAACGCUGGCGGCGUGCCUAAUACAUGCAAGUCGAACGCAGUGGGGACGGGUGAGUAACACGUGGGUAACCUCCCAUCAGAGGGGAUAACACUUGGAUACAGGUGCUAACACGCUACUGAUGGAUGGACCCGCGGUGCAUUUGCUAGUUGGUGAGGUAACGGCUCAACAAGGCCACGAUGCUUAGCCGACCUGAGAGGGUGAUCGGCCACACUGGGACUGAGACACGGCCCAGACUCCUACGGGAGGCAGCAGUAGGGAAUCUUCGGAAAUGGACGAAAGUCUGACCGAGCAACGCCGCGUGAGUGAAGAAGGUUUUCGGAUCGUAAAGCUCUGUUGUUAGAGAAGCGGUAUCUAACCAGAAAGCCACGGCUAACUACGUGCCAGCAGCCGCGGUAAUUC
rnacentral:rRNA from 1 species